rnacentral:lncRNA from 1 species
UUUUUUGUUUUGUUUUUUUUGGGGGGGUGGUUGUUGUAUUUACAUGCCAAUGAAUGACUGGCUCCUGGAUGAUCACAGGUGGCCUUUCAAGCACCUAUGACAAUUCAAAAUCUGCUGGAAUUAGUUUAAUUUAAACAAUGUUAAAUAGGAAUUAAUUACACUUUCUUGAGGGGUCAGUCACAGAUCAUGUUUGUGAACUACAUAGCCAAGGACAUAAUCCUGUUUGUAUCUACAUAUAUCGUUUUAUCAGAAGCAUUUCAAAGUUCUAAUUCAGAGACCUCUCAGUUGUUCACCUUUUAAAUUCUCUUCUUUCACAACAGCACGUUUCCAGUCGUAUGCUCCUGUUUACAUCAAGUACAAGGCAAUGCUGACAAUCAAAACAACUUUCAAGGGAACAAAUGAAAUGCCCCAACACUGAUUCACUUCUUCACACAGUGAAGCCAACCUGAAAUAUACAAAGUAAGGAGGACAUUGCAGUGACCAGAGAAUCUAGUUUAAUGGGCUGCUGUACAGGAAGACUUUGUUCUACGAUACAGUCUGGAAACAGCUGUCAAAUGUUACUACUUACAGAAUAACCUAAAUCUGAGUAGCUUUGUGUUUCACCGCAGUUCAAAGCCGUCACUGCCGUACCUUCAUCAGGCAACACAGCAACCACAUAGUUACAAAUACUGGUACAUUUGUGUAUGGUACAAUAAAAGAGUGAGAAUCACAUUUCUCAUACUGGUCCUUCUUGUGCUUCAUUUUGGCUUUUAUCUAUACAGUAAUACUCUUUGUGCUUAUUUGGUCCAUGCAAAGCAAUGUACUGUGUGCAUCAGUUGUUAAAUAAAAAUGAAAUUCAAAUUAGAAGAGGACUUGUAUUUUAGAUAAUUUAGGAUUAAUAAAAUAGUAUGAAAUUAAACUCUGAUAAUAGAA